UGCUUAUUACAGAUAGUGCACGGUGCUAAGUACCCCAGGACUACAGGAAAAAAUAAGAAUACGUGCUGUAUCCAUGAUCAGGAGGCACACAGGCCACAGUGCCAGCUGUGGAAUCACACAGCCCGGGUUCAAAGCCCAGCUGGGCCAUGACCACCUGAAGGACUUGUGGGAAGGUCUUAGGUAAAUUUGUGAAAAGAAGUGGAGACCCUGCCUGCCAGGAAGGGAUGUGGUAAGGGGCAGCAUCCAGUCAGUUCAGGGCACGGCAUCCUCUCCCUGGAAACCUGCAUAGCGGGACUGGUGGCCCUAGCUGCCAGGGCCGCCAUGGAGAAGACGGGCCUGGCUUCAGGCGGCACAGAGGCACUGGAACAGCCCUGGGGGAACUUGGUAGGAUGCGGGUGGCCCUGUGCUGGGCUUCCAGCAGAUUCUGGCCCUGUAACCCAGGAGAUAGGGCCGGGCAAUACAGGGCCACUGGGUGCCAAGACAGUGCCCAGGCCAAGCGCCAGGUGGAAAGGGCUCUGAUAUGUCAGCCCUGCAUCCCCCACAGCCUCACAGAGGGGCCCAUCAGGGGCCACAUACCUGCCCCCGGGAGCAGGAUGUCACCAGGUGUGAGAGAGUCCUGCUGGGUUCUGCGGAGGCGGGAGUGGUGGGGGUGGGGCUCUCCCUUUUGCCCUUUGACCCCUCUGGUAGGCGCCCUAGGACGGGGGUGCUCCCGCGCGCUUCUGCGCGCCCUGGUUCUGUCACCAGCCCCAUUGGGACGUCACAAGCGCUCAGCUGCCCAGUGCGCGCCUGGCGAAAGAGAAGUGAGCGACUACGGAGCAGCGUCUCCAUUACUGACCGUUUUCUCGCCAUUGUACCCGCACAACUUGCUCUAAAUGGGCAAUUUAUUAAGUAUAUUUCGUCCCGGGUCCCGCCGCAGACCCCUGCCGGGCCGUCGCUCACAAGCUCCCAUAGCCCGUGAGUCCUCUCAGCCUGGCCCGGCUCACCCUGCGGCGCCCACGCCUACCCCGGGCCCUUUCCGAUUCCUCUUCAACCCUCAGCAGAGCCGUGGGCCUUCUCCAGUCAACUUCUACAGCGCCCCUAGGGAACCGUGUCCUCUCCCGCCAGACACGGACGUCCCCCUGGGGAUCCUGCCUGCUGUGGGCGGCCGGCUCCCCUCAAGGAAGAAACCUGUGCUGUCUGCUCGCAACUCCAUGAUGCUGGGACACCCCAGCUCCGUGAGGAUACCUCCUCCCAGCAGCCAGUUCCCUCUCCAACUGCCUUCGCCACUUGAGCAGGUGACCGGGGCUAGGAAGCUGAUUCCGAUCCCAGCCAGGCUGCCGAAUAAGACCAAGAAACAGAAUUGGGUGUUCUUCAUCUGGGCUUUUGUCCUGCCCACACCCAGCAGGCGCACAGCCUGUAAAGCAGGAAAAGGAACCAAGCUGAAGGAGGCAGAAACUCCGCAGCCAGCAAGGAGGAGGCACUAUCUCCCUGCAGUACAAAUUCACCAAGAGCUUAGAGAGAUGAAGAGAGAUGCCAGGAAGAAGAGAGAUGCCAGGAAACAGAAGCCCACAGAAUCAUGAGAAGAUGGGGGCCUGCUGGCAGAGCUGGGGCUUGGCUGUGGUCACUCUGGAGCUACCCUGUGGUGUUUUUCUGAGUGGUGGAAAGAAUAGAGAUAAUAUGGAGCCCACAAAGGAAGCUCAAGCAGUAACAUAGCAAGAGGGAAAACAACUCAAAGGGAAGAGGCCCACGGUCUUCUUUCUUUGUGACUUCUACUGUCAGGGAGGCUCCUUAUUUAUAAAGAACAUGACUGUGUUUAUCUCCCAAGUUCUCACCCCAAGAUUAAUGUGUUCAGAAAGACUUGAGCCAUCAACAGUUAGAGGAGAAGUUGCACUGAUGCGUGAGGGAUGCAUUUUGACAAUUUGUGAUCCAGUUAUUUUUCUUAUGUUAAUGACCCAAUCUCAGAAACCAUUAAAAGUUUCUGGUAUCCCAACUAAUCUUAUCUGGGGAAAAGUUCUUUCAACUGGAAACUGUGUUCACCUGGCAUAAGGAAAAAGUUGGUAAAAUCUAAAGGAAUCCUCAGACUUAUUAAUAAAAUUGUGCCCAG
rnacentral:lncRNA from 1 species